CAUUCCCUGCUAUGCUGAAGGAGGUGGAAGAGUGGAGAAAUAGAUAUCUGUUAAACUGAGAUGAGAGCUGCCAGUGGGAGAGAGUCGGGUUGUCCCACUCUGCUCUGUGCUGGUGCGGCCUCACCCCAAGUGCUGUGCUCAGCUUUGGCUUCAGCGGUACAGGACAAGAGGAAGGAUGGCCCUACAUAGCAUCUACACAGGCUGGAUUGCGGGACUGAGGCCAAUGGGAUGAAGUUCAACAAGACCAAGUGCGCAGUUCUGCAGUUUGUCCACAGCAGCCCCAGGCAAUGCUGCAGGCUUCGGGCAGACUGGAUGGAAUACUGCAUGGAGGGAAUGCACCUUGGUGUAUUGGUUGAUGCUUGAUUGAACUUGAGCCAGCAACAUGCCUGUAUAUCCAAGGAGGCAUCCUGGCUUGUAUCAGAACUAGUGUUGUCAGUAGGUGCAGGGAAGUCAUCAUUCCUCUGUACGCCACCCUGGGGAGGCUGUACCUUGAGUUCUUUGUCCAGUACAGAAUGGGAAAUAAAUGGUGCAAAUAGAAAUAAUGGAUAUACAACAUCAUCUCAGUUUCUUCAGCAUGGAAGUGACCAGCUUUGAUCCUGAGUAGAUGUGACUAAAUUUGAUGAGUUUGCCUUUAGGAAAGGCUUUGAGGCUUCCUCCCAUGAGAUGCUCAUAGACAAACUGACAGCAAACCACUCAGUUAUGUGGGCACUGGGAUGGCCUUAAACGUUGCUGAAGGAAGGAUCCAGUGGAGUGAGCUGUGUCACAGAGUCCUGCUGUGGUGAGUUCACAGCUGUAUAGCACAAGAUUGGGAAUCGUGGUCAGUGCUGUUCAGUAUCUUCAUUAAAAUUGUGUGUGAUGGGACUGGACCUGAUUGUGGACAGCCUGCAAUUCUGCAGUGGGCUUGAGCAGGGCAAUUGAUUAUAUUCUUGUCUUUGGGCAACUGUAGAUAAAGCUUGAUGAGAUGACGGCCAUCUGCUGGCCAGCAAUGCUCCUGUUGGUGACAUGGAUGCGAGAGGAGAUCUUGGGGCCAUUUUUACUCAGCAUAAAGUUUUCUGGAGCCAUGACUCUGUAGUGGGUGAAGUGGAAAUAACACAGAUUGAAGAAAUAAAGGAGAGGAAUCUGAAUCUGGCAUGCAUGAGAUCUUUACUGAGGAGAAGACAUGUAAAUGAAGGAUCCACUUGGUGAUCACCAGGUGGAAAGGGCACAGUUCCAAGUGCAAAGAAAGAAGGAUGUUAAAGUGAUCCUGUUCCCAACAGCAUGGUAUGAUGUUGCUCCAGGCUUGGUUGUAUCCUCCUAUGAAAAGAGGAGCCAUGGCUGAUGAUCCCGUGUGCCAUCAGUGACACAGAGGAGCGUGGAACUCUGCCAUUUCACGUCCUUCUCUUGAGGUCGUGUCCUGUUGACAGCAGCGGCACCUUUCAAGUGAGAAUAUUGGAGGCCAAAGGUGCCACGUUGCACCUUCAUGUCAUGGCACGCGGAAGUAGUGGCCAACGCUCAGUAAAGGAGCAGUGUUGUCAGUGAGGUCAUUGCUUGGCACACA